rnacentral:lncRNA from 1 species
GGGAUCUGCGGCCUCAGGGUGUGUCCCGCCUCUCCGACCCGCUGAGUCCCCGGGUCCCGGGUGUGUAGCCUCGGGAGAAGCGUGUUGUCCAGGCGGCACUGGCUGCACCCCUACUCUGUGCUAGCCAUGGGUUAAGUACACAUAGGUGAUGGGAACCCGAGGUCUUGUUCUAAGUUGGAGUGAUGUGACUUAAAUGAGAUGAUUAGACAGUAGAUGAUUUGGAAGCGGAAAACGUGUAUCACACCAGUAGCAAGACAAUUACAAUGGCCGCAAGAAGACCCAGUGACAGCUUAACCUAGAAGAAUGAAACAGGAAUGGAGAAGUAAAGUCAAAUCGAUGUGGUUUAUGCCAGUUCCUCUCUCCCAGGAGACAGCCCCGCACCACACAACAUUUCGCUCAGCGGUGCGGCUGAGCACUGACAAACUCAAUCUGUGGAAGGUGAGUGCGCGUUGACACCACGCGGUGGCAGUUGUCCUGAUGGGAGCAGACGUCUCAUUUCAUUCCGCGGCCAGCCCACCUUCUCCAGAAGCCUGCUGGGCUCCUGGGGAGGAGCGUGGAAGGCUGAUUCAAAGCCGUAGAACUUCAGGAGCUGGAGAGAGCACCUAGGGAUGGGAGGGGAGGCGAAUGAAAAAGGGAG